CCUCCUUUUUUCCGCCGUGGGGAAUAUUGCGCAAUGGGCGAAAGCCUGACGCAGCGACGCCGCGUGAGGGAUGAAGGUCUUCGGAUCGUAAACCUCUGUCAGCAGGGAAGAACGGUCACUGUGCUAAUCAGCAGUGAAUUGCCGGGACCUGCAAAGGAAGCACCGGCUAACUCCGUGCCAGCAGCCGCGGUAAUACGGAGGGUGCGCACGUUAAUCGGAAUUACUGGGCGUAAAGCGCUCGUAGGCGGUAUGUCAAGGCAAGGGUGAAAUCCCCGCGCUUAACGUGGGAACUGCCUUUGAGACUGGCGAGCUGGAGUGUGUGAGAGGAUAGAGGAAUUCCAGGUGUAGGGGUGAAAUGCGUAGAUAUCAGGAGGAACAUCAGUGGCGAAGGCGACUAUCUGGCACAUAACUGACGCUGAGGAGCGAAAGCGUGGGUAGCAAACAGGAUUAGAUACCCCAGUAGUC
rnacentral:rRNA from 1 species